CUCUCAUGCUCUUCAAGCCCCUCUUACCUUUGGACAGUUUUCCUCUGCCUGGAGGUUUUCCUUCCCUUACUUGCUUAGUUACUGCCUUUCUUCUCAUCUGUGCUGAAGCUUUUUCUGAUCUAUCUGACUAGAACUCUGCCUCAAAGCCAUCCCCCAUUACAAGAUCUUAUAAUACCCUUUCUCUCUCCUUAACCACAGUUUCAACAUUUGCCUUUUCACAUUUCUCUGUGCUGUCUUUGGUUAAUAUGUCCCACCUCCACCAGCUGAAUUUGGUUUAUGGGGUGUGGAAACUCCUCCUAGUUUCAUUCACAUGUGUCUCCCCACUGUGCUCAACAACUAUAUGUAGAAUUGAUGAAUCCCAGUAUCAGUCUGAAAAAGGCAUUCAAAAACUGCUGAUUAAAAGAAACUAAGUUGUGUGGUGAGUGUGGAUGACCAAUUAUUUAAAACAAAAUUGCCUGUUGAUACUGUUGCUGGUCCAAGGACUGCACUUUGAGAAUCACUGUCCUAGAUCCUUACCUGUUUGGAUAUCUUUAAGGCUUUUGAGGAAAAAGUUCACCAACUGUCUCUAACAGUACCCAGAUUAGAAAUAACUCCAUCAUGAAAGAAAGGACUUCAGCAGAGUGAUUACAACUAUGGGUUCUGGAACCAAACCUUCUAGGAUUCCUUUUCUGUGGACACAAGUUAAUUAAGCUCCCUCUGAUUAAGUUCCAUCAUCUCCUCUGGGAAUAUCAACAGAUCCUUCAUCAUGGUGUUAUUGUGAAAAUUUCAUAAGAUAAUAAAAACCAUCUAGUGCAGAGCUUGGCCCACAGUAAGCUCUCAGUGUGGUGUUUGUCAUCAACAAGAUCAUCAGUCUUUUCAUCAUCAAUAAACUGAUGCUGUGACUAAUAAGAGCAUAUGAGAUUCAGAGGCUGACUCAGCUCUAAUGCAAAUUUUCAGCAAGUAUGGCAUCCAGCUGAGCAAUUAUGCCUCAGCCCUGUGGUACAUGAGGAGCAAGGGAGACAUAGAUGAAUAUCAUGACCCCGUUCCUUUCUAAGCCAUCAGAAAUAAAGUCCUUCUUCGAUGUCCCAACGGUCUUG
rnacentral:lncRNA from 1 species